rnacentral:rRNA from 1 species
AAGACCCAUAUCCAUUUUUGCCAUCAGGUCCUACGGGAUGACUGGGCACAAUAUGGAGACUGCCUGUGUAAAUAGGAGGAAGGUGUGGGCAACGUUAGGUCUGUACGCCCCGAAUCUCUUGGGCUACACGCGUCCUACAAUGGCAAUGACAGAAGGAUGCAACUCCGAAAGGAGAAGCCAACCCCGGAAACAUUGUCUUAGUUCGGAUUGAGGGUUGUAACUCACCCUCGUGAAGCUGGAAUUCCUAGUAAUCGGGUUUCAUCAUGACCCGGUGAAUAU